rnacentral:lncRNA from 1 species
CUGACGUAGUAAGGACGAUUAAACCUUACACUAUGACUUCAAGAUUGUUACCGCACCAAGCCAGAACUAUAUAUGAUUUCAAGAUUGUUACCACUAGAAGGAAACAAAAAUGAACCAAAAGAAUGAACUAGCUUAUGUAGGUUCUACCAAUUAACAUCAACUACUAGCAUACCAAAGAAAAACCCAGCAGAAAGAGUUGGGAUGUGUUUGUCUAGCAUGUCGCAACUAUGCAUCCAGUUAACUAAACCCCAAAUUAAUAACCUUUUAUUUCACCCUUGUCAGCACAGAAAUGAUGCAAGGUCAAUCUGCAGCUAGAACUAGCUCAUAUAUUAUAAGCUACUCCAGGAGACUAGACCUCUUCUGCUUCUAGAAACUCGAUCUCCUCAAUCGCCUCCGGCAAACUGAAUGACACGUAAAUCCAUACAUCUUCAGAAUUGUAUUGCAACUUCAAUCCAUGAAAGUUUAGGAACCAAGGGUGGUCUUCUGGUGGCUCUUCAGUGAAGAGAGAAUACAGCGCAGCUCACCUCUUCACAGACAUGGUUGUACAUUUCUCUCCACUCUUGGGUAUAACCCUCUACGGUGCAAAAAAUGUUGAAAUUUUUUUUGGAAAGCUUGUAGAUCUUGAUCUCAUUAUCUGAAU